GCCUGAGGAAACUGAGGCGCAGAGUUCCCAUGGCUGGUAAGUGGCAGAGCUGGGGUUUGAAUUCUGGCCUGACUUCAGCGUCUGAGCUCUAGACCAUGAAAGCAAGGUUCUCCAAGUGUGGUCCAGGAAGCACCUGCAUGGACAUUUCCCAGGAUGCUUGCUAAAAGUGCAGCAUCCUCCGUCCUGCUUACGGGACCGGAACCUCAGAGAGGGACCAGGAAGCUAUGGUUUUGGCAAGCUCUCCAGGUGGUUCUGAUGCGCAUGAGGUUUAAACUGCUGCUGUGUCCACAGAGUGGGGAGAAGGACAAGCUGCUUCCGGCCCCCACUAAUCCCUCCAUCACGGAGCGGCUUCCCCCAGCAGGCUCCUUUCUCCCCACUUCUGGGAACUUCACGGUAACCUGCGCACUCCCAGCAUCUAACGAGGUACCCAGCCCCAAGAUGACGCUUUGCGGGUUAGUGACAGGGAUUUCCUGGGUGGGGGUGUCAGGCGGUACUCCAUCUUCUGAGGCACAGG
rnacentral:lncRNA from 1 species